CUGUAAAUUAGAAGUUCAGUGGGCGACUCUCAGAUCUGCCCUCAGGGGUGAUCUCAGGAAGUCUUAACACCUCUGGGCUUGUUUACUAGAUUGUAAAGUAUUUUCUCCUUCUCUCCUGGGCCUGGAUAACAAGGUUUUUCUUUCACAUUUGGCUUUACAGAUAUGAUUCUUUCUUCCAGACCCUAAGAUUCCCUUUAGUUGCAGAGCAGUUCAUUGCUAUUUUCCAGGAGCGUAGAAGAAAACCCUCCACUUACACAGCUACAAAGGAAUCUGACAACCCCCAGCCUGCCUUAGACGUGUGAGGUGGUCCUUUCUCGUGCUUGAUGGACAGCAAAUCCUUUAAAGGCAAUUUUCAUUCAGAUCCUUCAUCAGGGAAGCAGGCGGACUUCAAUAAUUCCACUCAAAAGCUUCGGUCGCUGUCUGCGCGUCAAUCAGCCGAAUAGCCCUCUUCCCUAGAUGGGUGUCUCCUUAAUGCCCUGGAGAACGAAAGAUGGAUGGACUAGGUUGAGGUAAAUAGGACAGGCAUGUAACGUGAAGAGAACAAGUUUGACUGAUAUUUUCUUUCUGUGUUAAGGUUAUUGAAUAAUUGCGAUAGAAUUACUGCCAUCACAAUUCUCAUGUGCCCUGGAGGAAGGGGCACAAAGAAGAGAUGUCUCCUCCUGGGGUGAGAGGCAUGAUCCAGAAUCCUUGCCUCCUCCAGUUUGGUGAUUAACAAUUGAAUUCUCUGACAGCAGCCUGCGUUUCUGCAAUUGCCGAAAUCCACAUGUGUAAAAUGACAGGAGCUUCCAUGAUCACAAGACAGUCGUGAGUCUAAAAUAUUGAGCAUUAGUGUGCCAAAUGGUUGUAGGAGGAAAGAGUGUGGUAGGGAGAAGAGAAUGACUCCUCCCCUGAAAUGAUCCCAGUCCUGCCUCUUACUUGCUUUGUAGUAUGAACCCCUCUGAGAACUCAGUUUCCUCAUAUUCAAAAUGAGAACAAUCAUACUUCCUUCAUAACGUCACC
rnacentral:lncRNA from 1 species